rnacentral:lncRNA from 1 species
AGUCUUGCAACAUGAAGUGGGAAAAUUACAGUCCUGAAGGGCAGCAGAAUUUGAACCAAGGAAGGUGUUAGCUCUGUCCAAGGGAAGCAAGCAGCUGUUCUCCACAUCAGCCAAGGAUCACAGCCACAUCAAAAGUGUUGGAGAAGGAAAAAAACAAGGCAUGAUUUUUGCCCUUCACGAAAGACCUGUGGAAGUUUUCAGUCUACUUAUGGCAUAGGUGAG